UACGGGGGGGGCAAGCGUUGUUCGGAAUUACUGGGCGUAAAGGGCUCGUAGGCGGCCAACUAAGUCGGAUGUGAAAUCCCCAGGCUCUAGUGGAACUGCAUCCGAUACUGGAUGGCUUGAAUUCGGGAGAGGGAUGCAGAAUUCCAGGUGUAGCGGUGAAGUGCGUAGAUAUCUGGAGGAAUACCGGUGGCGAAGGCGGCAUCCUGGACCGACAUUGACGCUGAGGAGCGAAAGCUAGGGGAGCAAACGGG
rnacentral:rRNA from 1 species